rnacentral:lncRNA from 1 species
UUUAGAGAAAGUGGGCGGUGCCUUUGCAGACUUUGAAAUUCCCAUUGGCUCCUGGGGAUUGGUAGACUGCUGCCCACUGUUCACCUGCCCAACGGCUGCCCGCGGACGCCUUCCUAUCACUGCUGUCAUGUGUGGAAGCACAAGCACUGUGGCAGGAAGGCUUUAGAGGAAAACACAGAAUGGAGGACAACGAGGUGAGAGGUGGGGGAGUCGCCGAGCCUGCAAACUCAACCUACAUUUUUAUGCUCCUUCCACUUAGAAGCAGCGUCAUCUCGGAGGAUGCGAAACGACGCCCUUUCCCUGUUUUCCAGGAAUAUGGGGCCUUCCAGGGAAUUAAGAAGGAUCCAAUCAGAGGAGGUUUGGUGGUUUUCAAAUAAGAGGCGGUGCCGACAGACCCUUGGCACGUAGGCCGUUCCUGGACGGGAGAGGAAAGGCCGCGGGGCGCUGCAGCCCUGGACAUUCUCCUGCACCCCCGGACGCUGUGGCCGCUGCCACUACUAAGCAGAGGGACUCCGGGAGGGUGGCGAUGCACCCGGUGGGGUCUCCUCUCCCACGACCUGGGCAGGUCGGUCCUAGGAUGAAGCGCUGACUUUGAACAAAGACAUCUGGCGUCUGUAGAGACCACGCGAGAGGGAAGAACCACACCCCUUUGGAAGCGUGUGAGCCCUGGGGUUGGCGUUGAGACCUUCCAGUGGGGGUCCCCGGGGAGAGCUAAUGAGUCACAUGGGUGUUAUUGCCAAUAUUCUUAAAGGGGAGCUCAGAGCUGGGCUCUGAGACUAGCCCGGCUGUUAGAAUCCCGUAUCCCUGUUAUCAGAAUAACAGGGGUAAGUCACAUGCUGCGGCCCUGCUGGCUGUGGUCGUGGAUGUGGGUUCAGCUCUCCAGGUUCCCCAGAGUGUGGACUGUUGCUCUGAACACCCCAUGCAGCUGAAAGCCGGCCUCUGUACACCGGCACCGAUUCAGUCUCGGAGACAGAGUUUGGGGUGAAGCAGAAAGAACGGCUUUAGUGCUUUGCCAGGCAAAGGAGGCCACAACAGACUAACGCCUCAAACCUGUGUCCUCCCUUGAGAGGGGACAGCAAGGGAUCUUAGAGGUUUCGCUUGAAAACCAGGGCUGUGGAUAAGGGUCAGGGAGCCUGCAUUCUUCUCCCUCCAGAGAUGAUUUCAAAGUUGUCAAGGCUGCAGUCGGAUGGUCCGGUGACAGUUUCUGGCGUCGUUGGGGUUAUGGCAUCUUGACCUUCUCUCUGCAGUGAAGACUGCUUAUGAAAGGAAGGGGGCGUUAGGGAAUAUUUCAAAGGAGAAAAGCUACCAGAUUGCAAAGAAAAGAAGGAACAUCUGUGAAAGGGGAAUCGAGCAAGGGAGUAAAAUCAUUUAGGCGAA